CCGCCACACGCCGCCGGCAGUGCGGCCGCUCUGCCCGGAGGGGCAGGGUGGGGGGCGGGUUGGGCCGGCGCGGCCCAGGACCCUGCCCGUCCGCCGCCGCACCCCUGCGCCGGCCCUUCUGCUUCGCCACUGUUCCGUCACCGCCUUCCCGCGCAAGCACGUUGACUCUCCCCACCCACACCCCCGCUAGUGGACCGCAGCAGCAAGGGCCUUCCGUCCCCGCUCCCUGGUGGUGCCGAGCUCGCCUCCCGCGCCGUAGCCGCCCUUCGCAGGCUCGUGGGUCCAUGUUCCCGAUGCCGGAGGUCGCCCCUGCUGUCCUUCUGCCCGCAACAGAACUUCCGUGAUCCACCAGUGGCAACGUGGUUGUGCGGAUUUGCGCAUAAAAAAACCUAUGCAUCACUGGAAAAUAUACUGAUGGACACACAAGAAUUGGAGUUUCGAGAACACUGGGGCUGAGAGAGAAAGCAGUAUUGUGAGUGGAUACCAGAACAUCACAGUGCAUCAUCAGGAAAAACCAGGAUGCCCUAUGUCUUAUCUAAGUCAUGGAAGUGCAGAAGAGUGACCUGAAAGCUUGAAGAAACUGCUGGUCCUGUUCAGCCUGUCAGUGCUGGGAUUGGCUUCUUUGGCUACUGACACAAUUUUUGUUGGGUGAAUGAGCAGUAGAAGGGAAGUGGAUAGGUUUUUGGAUUUAGCAGAUGGAAAAAGGAAGAUUGUAACAGCACAGAAGAUGAUAUAAAAUAAAAUAUUAAAAAGCCAUUAGAGAAA